rnacentral:lncRNA from 1 species
AAACAUGCAUACGUGCCACUUCUUAACAAAUGACGUUGAAUUUCAACCCAUCUUGGAUUACACGUUACUGUUAAGAAUAAAUCUGGAUAUCCAUACCUCUUGCACAAUGCCAUUGCAUCUUGACAAUUAUUAAACAUAUACCGUCUACCUCCAGUAAAAGAAGAUGGCAAAACAAUUCGUGCACCUAUCGAAGAUGCAUCAAUAUCACCACGAUCAACAGCUUCUUCAAUCCCAGAUAAAAAACCAGAUCGAAUAGUACUUUGAUUCUCUCUAUAAAAAGACAACCUUUGAGCCUCAAGCAUUGAAUACGAAUCUACGACGAAUUGCUGAAAUAGUCGUCUACCUUUUAAAAUAACUGAAUCUUCAAUUAUCCUUUCUUGUAACCUAAACGCCAGAAAUUCCCUCAAAGAAACACGAAUGCGUUUGUUAACACUUGUGGAAGUUGAAAUUUGAUUGCGUUCAAUAUGUUCAUUAAAUUGAUCUUCCCCAUAAGGAAAUAACAACGGAUACUGAAGUGGUAAGUACUUUGGAUGAGUUUCAUGUAUACGCUUAAGAUAUCCAUCUUUCUCAUUAACAAUGAUAUCCC